GGAAGGGGCCAUGGCUCAGUGGUAGAGCAUUUGUUUUGCAUGCAAAACGUACCAAGCUUAAUCCCUGGCGCUUCCA
rnacentral:tRNA from 1 species